CCUACGGGGGGCUGCAGUGGGGAAUAUUGCACAAUGGGCGCAAGCCUGAUGCAGCCAUGCCGCGUGUGUGAAGAAGGCCUUCGGGUUGUAAAGCACUUUCAGCGGGGAGGAAGGCGGUGAGGUUAAUAACCUCAUCGAUUGACGUUACCCGCAGAAGAAGCACCGGCUAACUCCGUGCCAGCAGCCGCGGUAAUACGGAGGGUGCAAGCGUUAAUCGGAAUUACUGGGCGUAAAGCGCACGCAGGCGGUCUGUCAAGUCGGAUGUGAAAUCCCCGGGCUCAACCUGGGAACUGCAUUCGAAACUGGCAGGCUAGAGUCGUGUAGAGGGGGGUAGAAUUCCAGGUGUAGCGGUGAAAUGCGUAGAGAUCUGGAGGAAUACCGGUGGCGAAGGCGGCCCCCUGGACAAGGACUGACGCUCAGGUGCGAAAGCGUGGGGAGCAAACAGGAUUAGAUACCCUAGUAGUC
rnacentral:rRNA from 1 species